rnacentral:rRNA from 1 species
AACGAACGCUGGCGGCAUGCCUAACACAUGCAAGUCGAACGAUCCCUUCGGGGCUAGUGGCGCACGGGUGCGUAACGCGUGGGAACCUGCCCUUAGGUUCGGAAUAACUCACAGAAAUUUGAGCUAAUACCGGAUAAUGUCUUCGGACCAAAGAUUUAUCGCCUUUGGAUGGGCCCGCGUUGGAUUAGCUAGUUGGUGGGGUAAAGGCCUACCAAGGCGACGAUCCAUAGCUGGUCUGAGAGGAUGAUCAGCCACACUGGGACUGAGACACGGCCCAGACUCCUACGGGAGGCAGCAGUGGGGAAUAUUGGACAAUGGGCGAAAGCCUGAUCCAGCAAUGCCGCGUGAGUGAUGAAGGCCUUAGGGUUGUAAAGCUCUUUUACCCGGGAUGAUAAUGACAGUACCGGGAGAAUAAGCCCCGGCUAACUCCGUG